AGGAGGACUUCUAGGAUAUACGUGAAAGGAAGAGCUACAGGAGGCAGAGCAAUGGGUCACAGAAGAGAGAAGAAGCUUCAGGCAGGAUAAUCUGAGGCAUUUGCUGGACCAGCAUCUUUUGAUGUUUAUCUCCCUUGGGUGAAAAUGCUUUUGAAACUGUGACCACAACAGACUGUUUGAACUGUGGCGCGAGAGAGACUGAAAAUUUCCCCAGGCAACUUUACGCAGGUACUAGCCAUAGAGUUGACAAGGAAAGCUUUUAAAGUACAACGAAAUUCAGCAUGGGCGCUGCACCCAGCAGAGGAAACUCCAGCCAUCUGGAGACGAGGAUGACCAGCGGCCACAGCAGUUUGCAAAAUUGCAAGAGCUGCCAAAAUUAAACUGUGAAGUCAGGCGGGAAGGCAACCAAUGACCAGCGAGAUCAGAAGUUCAGAGAUGCCCCAGAUGAGCUCCCAACAACAAGUGUGGCUGGCGUACACCACAGUUUAUUAAGGAUGUUGAGAGGAGGGGAAAAUAUCCAUGCAGAAGAUGCCCAGCUGGCGAGGAGGGACUGGUGCUGAUGCUCAGGUCACUUGAUGAAUCCCAUUGGCCAAGUCUCUGGGAGAUCCCACCCAUUCGCAAGUGUAAAAUAAAUCUCUAAAGUUGUA